rnacentral:rRNA from 1 species
CCUACUGGUGACAUCAUUAGGGCAUAUUGCUCAAUGGGGGAAACCCUGAAGCAUCCCCCUCUCUUUUCGUCUUCCUUUUUUCCUCUUUUUCCCUCCUUUUUUUCUCUUCGAUUAUGACGGUAUCUAACGAAUAAGCACCGGCUAACUCCGUGCCAGCAGCCGCGGUAAUACGGAGGGUGCAAGCGUUACUCGGAAUCACUGGGCGUAAAGAGUGCGUAGGCGGGGUAAUAAGUCAGAUGUGAAAUCCUGUAGCUUAACUACAGAACUGCAUUUGAAACUGUUACUCUGGAGUGUGGGAGGGGUAGGUGGAAUUCUUGGUGUAGGGGUAAAAUCCGUAGAGAUCAAGAGGAAUACUCAUUGCGAAGGCGAGCGGCUGGAACAUUACUGACGCUGAUGCACGAAAGCGUGGGGAGCAAACAGGAUUAGAUACCAGUGUAGUC